CACAUGUCUUCUGUGACGACCAAACCUCUGUUCCACUUGAGGAAAUACCCUCACAAGAAUUCUAUACAUAGUUCCGUAAUACCAUAUCCUCCAUCUCUUGCAAAACAAAAGUGAUCCGAUAGCAAUACCCAACCCACAUGCGAAUCCAAUCUCAACACUGAUAACAUUCCAAUCAAUCUCAUCUCUAGAAUUUGGAUGACUUUUUUCUGGUUCCGGCGGUGACAACCUUGUUUUGUUUUCUUCGGUCAAGGGAGGCCCAAACAAACCUUUGUUUCCUUCAAAGGAAGAUUUUUGAAAUGUUGGAAAUUGAUUACUGCUCGGAAUUCUGCCCUCGAGUUGAUUGUUUGAGAGAUUCAAGAAUGAAAGGAAAGUGAGUUUUGUAAGCUGUACUGGAAUUUGACCACUCAAGGUGUUAUGUGAGAGGUCUAAAGACUCUAGCUGGCUCAAGUUGCUUAAUGAUGAUGGAAUUUCACCUGUGAAAGCAUUGUUUGAGAAAUCGAGGACAUGUAGUGAUUUGAGUUCUCCGAUUUCAUCGGGUAUAGAUCCAGUGAACUUGUUGUUUGAGAAGUCAAUGGAGGUGAAGAUUGUAAGUAUUUUUUCCAACUCCAUCUCUUGACCUUUGUUGGUAACUGUAACAGUAUCUUGAUAAUAAUCACUACUAGUUCCAUUUUUGUCAUGAUAUUGAAGGUAAUUGAGCUUUGAUGGGGCAUCAUCUUCAUUAGCCAUCAUUGCUUGCCAAGUUGUCAAAACUCUACCUGGUACAUUUCCACUAAAAUUGUUGUGAGCUAGGUCUAUAAUUUGAAGCAUUGGCCAAGUGCCAUUAGUCUUGGGACAUCCAACGCCUCCAUAAAACUUAUUGGAUCGCAAGACUAUGACAUGCAACGUAGAUAUGAUCUUCAAAAAGCAUGGAAAUGGACCUGUUAUUUGAUUCUUUCCAACGUUUAGAACUUGUAACUGCGGACAGUUGAUAAGUGAUUUUGGCAACUGACCUUGUAUCUGAUUAUCACUAAUGUCUAGUGUUUGCAAACUGCAAUUGAGAGACAACUUGGCUACAUUUCUAAGAUUGUUUCUCCUUAGCUUCAGUACUAAAAGGGUGCUCAUUGUAGUCAAGCAGUGAGGAACCGUUCCACUCAAGGAAUUAUUGGACAUAUCAAGAACCUCAAGGUUAUGUGAAUUGCAUAUUGAUCCUGGAAUGAUCCCUUGUAGGUUGUUGCUUGCAAUAAAGAAGAAUCGAGUGUUAGGAAGCAGAUCUUCAAUGGCAGUCGGUAUGUUAGUGCUGAAGUUAUUCCUAGAGUAAUCUAGAUAAUACAUGUUAGGUGACAAUGAAAUUGGGAUUUUCCCAUGGAGCUGGUUAGAAUGAAGGUCAAGGAAUUCUAGAGAAGUGAGAUUGAUUGUAGGACCUUCAAGAGUUUCUAGAGAGUUGCAUGAAAGAUUUAGGUCAGAGAGAUAAUCGAACCUCCAAAUCCAGUUGGGUAUAUUGCCCUGUAUUUGGUUAUCCGAAAGAUCCAAAUACACCAAUUGAGAUUGAUUUCUCAAGAAAUGAGGGAAUGUUCUUAACUUCAGUGAAGCCAACCCCAAGGAUUCAAAUUGAGGAAAAUAGGAGUGUGAGUAAUUGGUAGCAUCAUGGCUAAGAGACAAGCUAUUGUGUGAAAGAUCAAGAUAAGAAAGAUUUCUGAGAUGUUGAAGACUAUCCAGAAGAAAUGAGCCACUGAAAUUGUUUGAAGAAAGAGAAAGAAGUUCAAGACCCUGAAAGUCAAAGAUAGACAUGGGUAUUGGCCCUUCCAGAUUAUUUAUACUCAAAUAAAGUCGUUUGAGAAAGUAUGAUGAGAUAUUAGAAAUUUCAGGAAAAUGACCAGAGAAUUGGUUAUCAUCAAGAUAUAGAGUCUCUAGCAAGGGAAGAGAAAACAGAGCUGAUGGAAUAUUCCCAUUGAGCAUAUUUCCACCUAAGUCGAGAUAGGAUAGGUUAGAAAAGUUUUUCCAGGGGAUGCAAUUAAUAUUACCUGUUAGACCAUUUGAAAAGAGGUCUAUGCGCUCUAGAUUCUUGGCCCCACUGAAUGACGGAAUUGAACCUUCAAACUUGUUUCCAGACAUCUCCAAGUAAACCAAUUGCGUAAGGUUUGCCAUCGACUUGGGGAUUGAUCCUGUAAAAUUACAGCCUUCGAUACCAAUUGUGGACAGCAUCUUGAGGUUGCCAAUAGAGUUUGGUAAUGCCCCUGAAAAAUUAGUCCCCCAUAGAUACAGGUCCUGAAGAGAACCAUUUUUUGAGAAUUCUGGCAAGGAACCAUCAAGGUUUUCAUUUCUGGAAACGCUAAUCUUACGGAGGGAAGGUAACUGAAAGAUUUCUUUCGGAAAUGUUCCCUGCAGAUUACAAUCUGCGAGAUCCAGGGAUGUCAAGUUUGAAAAGUUGGCAAAGAAUGUCGGAACUGGAGCAGAGAUGUUGUUCGAGUCCAAUUGAAUCACAGAGAGGGACUGGAGCUUAGCAAGAGAAUCGUGGAAAGGGCCAGAAAGAUUACAACUGGACAAACUCAACACCCUAAGGUUGGGAAGGGAAGAUGAUAUGGCUUGGCACCACUCACUACCCCCUGCUGAUAUUUGGACAGAGUCAAGGUGCAACUCUCUAAGCUCUGUGAGGUUCUCUACCAGCAUGUGUAAAGUUGGGAUCUCAAGGGGAUCCCCCUCAAAGAAGAAGGAAGACAAUUUAGAAAUAUCAAGAACUACCAACCUCGUCAAGCGUGAGAUCUCAAUCGGAAUUUUCCCUGAAUAAUAAUUGUGAGAUAAAUUCAGAUACCUCAAGUUCAUGAGCUUCCCGAAUGCUGAUGGAAUUGAUUGAGAGUCGUUGCCAAGGUAGUUGUGUGCCAAAUUGAGGCUUUGAAGAUUUUGAAGAUGGAAGAGGCUGCUAGAAUUGUCAAUACCACCUGAGAUAGAUUCACUGCUGAUGUCAAGGCCCGAAACACUGUCAUUGGUGCUGCAAGUAACGCCGACCCAAGAACAACAAUCGGUACUUGAGUUCCAGGUAAUAAGCUUGGUGGAAAGAGAGGCGUUAAAUAAGAGGUCGCUCUUGAAAUGGAGCAAUGAUUGUUGCUGGUCUGGUAUACACUUGCUAUGGACUACAGGGUUGAUGAUGAUACUAACACAGAGCGAGACAAAGAAAAGGAAGAAAUGAGGCUGAUUAGUUUUCAUUUUGGAUUAGCAGAAAACUUAGUGGUUAUGUGAAGAAUUCUUAAUGGUUAUGUUGGCUUUUAUAAGGUGAAAGAGGAUAACUCAUUAACUCCUCUGAGAUUUGUAACCACUAGAAAUAUUAUGAUAGAAUGCAGAAGACUUUGGCCGGCCCUACAAGGACCAUGAGAGUCAGUCACACUGGAAGCUAGGCUCUGUGUUCAAACGUUUGUAUUGGAAAAUGUUGAAAAUUCUAUUAUAUAGAUAGUUCAUAGAACUGCUCGACAUGGACAAUACAUAUAUUUCGAAUGCCGAAAUUACUUAUUUUUCUAGUAAUGAUUUUUGUUGACAAGCUUAGAUGCAUGGUUAUGUGGUCAUGCAGACCGUAGUAGCAUAAAAGUUUAAGAAUUAUAUGUAGUGUGUUAUCUUUCACAUAUCACUUGGUUUUUUGAUCAUCUGUAAUUUGAGUUAUGUCAUCCGUUUGACGAAGAUGAGGUGACAUGAGGAUGCCCCUUCUUAUACGCCAAGAGGGGUAAUGAUAUUGUGGUGAUGGAAUUGGUCGCUUUCAAGGUUACUGUGGAAAGAGGCUACCAUGAGAUGUGUGGUUGUUGCAUGACUAUGAAGUCUUCCCCAUCUGCAGAAGGCUGUUUUCUUCAAUGUAAAUUUCCUACUAAUUUGAAUAUUUGAUGUAGAUGUUGAUACGGAAGCUCAAAAUAGUUCAUCAAACUGAGGCAUUGUUAAUAUGGAACCUCAAAAUAGUUCAUUAAAUCAGGUUGAAUGCAUAAGAGCCUCAGUUUUUGAAUUAUGUCAGUAAAAGCAACAAUGCCUCAGUUCAUCAGAAUUCAAAUAGUAGUUAAAAGUUUAAAACUCAGAUGCUCAGUGCUCAAACCCACUCCCACCUAUCAACCUCCUCUCCCUCGCCGACUCCUUCUGUUGGGGAUCAUGGCAUCAAUGUUUCAUCAGCUAGGCUAUUCUACUCUAGGCUAUUCACAAAAUCCAUGAAUGCCUCCUUCUCAACCUCAGUCAACUGCUCGGCCUCGAUUAGCUUAUCUCCUCAAGUUCGUCAAAUUUCCAAUCGAAUCGUAAGACCAGAGGCGCUUCCGGCUCCCUUGGGAAGAGUAUAUCAACCUCAGUAUCGAUCGGCUUCUUCGAAUUCUUCUCCUCCUCCUUCGGAUUCAUCAUAUACGGCAUACAAUACUGGAACUGGAACCAACGGUCCUCCUUCAUCUGCUUAAUGCUCGCCUUCCUCUGCGUGCAUCCCAGCACGAAAAUCUGAGGCAAGUUGGAACCACCAGACGACUUGGCUGCUCUCUCGGAACUCCAGCCUUCUCUUUGCUCCAGAGGAAUGUAAGGGAUCCAAUCCAUCUUCAUAUACCUCAUCGGAACUAUCACCUUCUCCUCCUCUUUUUUUUUCUGCACGGCCCUGACCGCAAUCUCCAUCGACGGCGGUCGAGGCGCCACCACCGCCACCAGAUUCGGAAUCAGAACCGUAGGAUCCCAUAUAUUUCUAGUCUCCUUCUUCUUCAAAUUCCGUUGAAUUUGCCUCCUUCUUCUUCAAAUUCCUUCUCGAGAUUCGAGAAAUCCCAGUCAUGUUGGUACACUGAGUCCAAGCGAUCCAACUCACGCAAAGUGUUUGUUCUGCAUUCACUUUUGUGUUGCCUUGAUCCACAAUCCGAUUGAUGUUGAAUCUUGUUGACUAUUAUAUCAGGACGUGUUGACAAUGUGUAUGGUGACCGCAAUCUCAUCUGCACUCUUCAACCAGAGCCAGUGGAGGAAGCAGCAGCAGCCACUGCUUAGUCUUCAGCUCGAUCCAAUCCUCGUCGUCGCCGCCAAAGUCCGGUCAUGAAUAGCCCAACUGAAUGCCACAUCUUCCCUUCCCUUCACAAAGAAAAGAAAUCAUCAUCUCCUUCCACAUUCCCACAUUGUAUAUAAUUUUCUCCGUAUCUAAAUACACGUACAGCUCGCCAUAUAUAGCUGGUGACAUUCAUUUCCCUAUUAUGAUGAUGACGAUUAGCUUUUCUAAUAACAGCUGCUGUUGCUAUUUGCAACUCAGAUGUUGUAAUUAUAAUUUUCGCUGGGUGAGGAGGUUGAUAGAGAAAGAGAGAGAUGGGUGAGGACGUUGAUCAUGAUCAAGCACUACUAGUACCAGUUCUUGAAUUUUCGAAGGAGUGUUUGGUCCCAAAGAAAGAGAGGAGUGAGGAAUGGAGAGCUAUGAGCACCAAAGUGAGAGAGGCAUGUGAGAGUCAUGGCUGCUUUCUGCUGUUGGUGCAGGAAGAGGUGAUGCCGAUGCGCUUACGUGAAGACAAGGUGAUGGCCAUGAAAGCUUUGUUUGAUCUCGCUGAAGAGACCAAGCAGAAGCACACAAUCCCCAGGGCUUACCAGAGCUACCAAGGCAAGUGCCCCAUCAUUCCCUUGAACGAAAGCUUGGGGAUCGACAAUGCAUGCCAGCUUGAUGUAGCUGAGUCCUUCACCAACCUCAUGUGGCCUCAAGGGAACUCUUCUUUUUGGUGAUUUCUCUAAUAAAUUUACACUCACAUUUGAAGUAGUUAAUUUCCCCCAUUUAUGUAUCUGUUCUCUUUUUGGUCCAAGUUUCUCCAUUUCAAUGCAAGAUAAUAGCUAGAUUAAUUAAUAGCUAUAGUAAUGUUGUUUUGCUAGUUAUUUGAGAUCUAAUCAAGCUUCUAACUGGGAAUCUAAAUUAUAUAAUAUAUUUAUGAAAGAAUUCACAUACAUACUAGACCGACAUCUAAAUUGAGAAUAAUCUCGCAAUUUAGGUUAUUAAUUUGUGUUCAAACAUGCUCUAUCAGCUAUUUCAGCUCUUGCUUUCCAAAAGUGAAGCUAGAGAAUUGUAAUGAGAGGUGGACGGUUUCGUUUGAGUGAUCCGGUGGUGAUGUAUUUAUACACUACAAUUCCUUAAUCAAUCAUGAUUGGGAAACUUUAUCGUAAUAGGAUUACAACGAGCAGAGUUACUUGGUUCUCUUAAUGAAAAACUCAUAAACAAUCUUAAUUCAAGUAGAUUAUACUCAAAAUUUCAAAUAUGAUUCCAUUCGGAGUAUUGAAUUAAUUAAGACAUUUUCCUGAAAUGAAACUUAGAAUAUGAACUCAAUCAAUAAUGACUUUCAAACGAAACCACUGAUUUACUUCAAACACAUUUUUUUGUAGUCUUAUGUACGUUACGACUUCCUUGUAUCACUACAUGAUGAUUUUGAUUGGUGUUGUUUGGGAUUUAGUUUCGGGAAGUCUGAUGAGAUAUAUUGUAUUGUGGAAUUCUGUGUUUCUAUAUUAGUUGUGUAUUUAAUUCUAGAGGUUGGCAUAUGACUUGAAGAUACUCUAAGCAUGCUGAGCAAGAAUGCAUGUAUGGCCAUGUUGAUUCUUGUUAGCAAUGAUCCAACUCUUUUAUUUGCUUACUAGUUGUCUCCGGAACUCUAUGUUACCUUUGUUCGAAUACUAAUAUGACAUACUCGAGCACCAAAAUUCUUGAUCCCAACAUGUAACAUACAUAUACAUUCGUACUCAUCAAAGUGCAGGCAUGUGAUAAUUGUUAACAAUCAAACUCAAAGAACAUUCAACAGAGGGACACGCUUUGUAAUUUGGCACAGUUUUACAGUUUCAACGUACAGAUGUGAAGAAAACUCAAUUCAUCAACAAACAUAAUCGAAAAAGAGAUAUACCGAUCCGACAACAUAUAUAAAACUCGACGGGAAAAAUCAUAUUCAUCUAAAUUCUUUUCAUAAGGCUGAAAUAAUCAACAACAAACAAUAUGAAAAAAUUCAAUUCAAUUCAGCAGGUAAAGCCAAACAAGCAAGGUCAGGUCUUCGAUUCCUCAAAUAAUCUCAUGCGCUUCUCCAUAGUAGAAGUUGAUGUACUUAGACUGGAUCUCUAUCACAGGAGGGUUUGGUGUUUGUUGUGGAUAAAUCUUGUAAAGCCUCAUGCUCUCAUAAUAGGCUUUCGCUUCCUGAUACUUUGGAUCCUCCUGCUCCUUCUCAUCUUGAUUAUUCGGAUUCAUCAAAUACGGCAUACAGAACAGGUAUUGCAUCCGACGUUCCUGCCUCAUCUGUGUGCAUACCAGCACGAAUAUCUGAGGCAAAUUCAAACGAAUGCAGGGAAACCAAUCCAUAUUCAUCUCACUCAUCGGAACUAUCUCCUUCUCUCCUCUCUGCACAGACCUGAACGCAAUCUCCAAAGCAAUAAAGCACAGAAUAGGCUAGUCCAAUAACAAAGGCUACAUUCCUGGAGGGGAAAAGGCUUUAUUCAUUUCAUGAUUCUGUUCCCUCAAUGCAGAUUUGUAAUCUCAGUUUCUUCUUUUUCUCCGAGUUCAUCUUGCCAGGAAAUUGCACUAAAGUGAGAACGUUGAAUUAGUACCAAAGACACCCCCCAAACGAGUCCUUCGGUAACGUCAUGAACAGGUGCUUUGAUUGCAUCUCAAUUGCUUACUGAAGUUAUUGGUCUACCCAAGCAAAUUUACAAACUUUGUUGUCUGAGAUAAUGGCUUGUGGAAAAGUGGAGGGACUGGAAGCGGAAAAUGUGGGAAGGACUUCAAGAGAAUUGUGGUUGGCUUGACUCUGAAGUCUGAAGUCUUCCCCAUGUCGUAGUCGGUGUGUUUCAUUAUUACUAAUUCCUAAAGCUAGGUUUUUGCGCGGGAGAAACCUCCAUGAGAUUUGAGCAUGGCUGGCUGGCUGGCAUGACUCGCCAGUCUUUUCCAACAUAUAGGUUUAUGCAUUGAAAUUGCCAACAAGUAUUUUUUUCCUUUAAUCAAAACUAAUCACAUGGUUUCUUUAAAGGUAUUUCACGUCCAAAGAAGAUAUUGUUUUAAUAGAAAUCACACGGUUUUUUUAAAGACAUUCUAGACCCAAAGACUAAGUCUUAUCAACGAACAUGAGUAAGAGGAUUAUUCACCAAUAGAACAACGAACGACUUGGUAAUUACUCAUAAACCGUAGUGCUGGUCGUGAUCGAGCAGAGUAAUGCAAGUGACUUCACUGACUUGUGUGAUAAUCUACUAAAAUUUUCUCAAGGAUUACACCAUUACAAUAUUUUGUCACUUAAUUUUCUUGUGGCAAAAGUAAUUUGUAACGACAAGUGGCCACAACAUCUGACAUCCACGACCGGGUUGGGAUUGAAAUCAGAAGUGACAGAUUUUGAGGGUUUGAAACUAACAUGGAUGUUGAUGAACCAAACAAAGGUACGCCCUUUCUCAAAACUCUGCCUUUUAACCCUAUCAGGGUCUUUGAUCAUAUAAUCCCUAACAGCUUUCCCACAUUUCCCCCAAAUUUACAGGGCGAACAUGAAAUGCAAGCAAAGCCCAUAAUUGUGAUCUUCGUCCCUAGGUUUGAAUCUGCCAGGUACAUUUGAUUAUUGUUUGAUAUCACAUGUGUUCGAUCAAAUGCCUCACAAGUUAAUGGAGUAUGCACGACUUGAUAAUGAGAACAAACUUGACAACUAGAGCACAUUUCUUUCACAUAUCACACUCACAUGCACAUAUAUAGAAGUUUGCCACAGAUUUAUUAGAAGAUGAACAAGCCAGCUCAACAUACAUGAAAGAUGCACAAGAAAGAAGCACAAAAAUUCUGAGCUGGUUCUAGUGAUAGAUAGGGUGCCUUGACUUCCAAGUCUUCCCCCAAUUUUCCAAAAAUUUAAACAGCCCACCAGAGAAAAACUGACUCGUAGUUAAGAGAUGUCCAGUGAUGUUACAGUGGUAGGGUAUUGAUCGAAAGGAACGGAUGUCCAGAAGUUCAACUUAUAAACCAAAAACUAGAAGAUAUUAGUCACUUUCACAAAAUCGGCUAUUCAAGCACUUAGUACACGGAAGCCCAUAUUAUAAGUUUCGGCUCAAGCCCAACUAAAGGCCCAAAACAGAUUGAUCCCCUCCCAUUUCCUGACUCCAUUUCCAAUCUUCGUCAAACCCCAGAGCUUCACACACCAAAGCUCUCAUCUUUCCUCCAAUGGCUUCCUUCAACCCAUCCGUAAACCCCCAAACCCACUCCCACCCAUCAACCUCCUCUCCCCUCGAGAACCUCCCUUGAACCUCCCUUAGACUUCAUCUCAAUCACAGGAGUGUUUGGUGUCUGUACUGUAUAAAUCUUGUAAAGCCUCAUACUCUCAUAAUAGCUUUUCGCUUCUUGAUACUUUGGAUCCUCCAUUAGCUUCUUCUUCGCUUCCUUCUCUUCCCUAAUCUUCUUCUUCACUUUCUUCACUUCCUCCUUCACAAACGCCAUGAACGCCUCCUUCUUGUCCUCAGUCAGCUCCUCGGCCUUGAUCAGCUCAUCAGUGUACUCCUCAACCUCAUCCAACUCCCAAUCAAACUGCACAAACAGCGGCGCUUGCGGCUCCCUCGGGAAGAGUAUAUCCACCACAGUAGUCUGCUCCUUCUCCUCCUCAUUCGGAUUCAUCAAAUACGGCAUACAGUACUGGAACUUCAUCCAACGGUCCUCCUUCAUCUGCUUCAAGCUCGCCUUCCUCUGCGUGCAUCCCAGCACGAAAAUCUGCGGCAAAUUCGAACCGGACUUGGCUCCUCUCUCGGAAUUCCAGCCUUCUCUUUGCUCCAGAGGAAUGUAAGGGAUCCAAUCCAUCUUCAUCUGCCUCAUCGGAACUAUCUCCUUCUCCUCUCUCUGCACAGACCUGAUCCCAAUCUCCAUCGACGGCGGCCGAGGCGCCACGACGGCGACCAGCGUCGGGAUCAGCACCGGCACCGACGGCGAAGAAGUCUCGGUCUGGCUGAAGAGGUAGACCUUGUUGUUUCCGAUGCCGUGGAAUUUGCCUCCUUCUUCUUCGAAUUCCUUCUCGAGAUUCGAGAAAUCCCAGUCGUAUUUGUAGAGUGAGUCCAAGCGAUCCCACUCGGUGCCGACCGGGAACGCCGCCUUCCAUAGAUCUUGAAGGUUUCGCUGCUCCUCCACGUACUCCGGUUCCGACUGCGGCUGCGGCUGAGAGGCCUUGACGCGCUUGGCGCGUGUGGCGGUGGCUUUGGGCUUGGCCUCCAUCGCCGCCGGGCGAGCCUUUUGCUUGGCUCCUUUCCUCAUUCUAGGGUUUGAAAUUUCGGACACAGAGAACGGCUAUGGAGAUUUGGGGGUUUGGUGAAGGUGUGUGUUUGUUUUGGUUUUUGGUAAUAACCCUACAAAUUUAAACGCCAAGGAGUCAGAAUUGGGCGUGCUAAUGAAGCGAAAACUAAAUAUAAAUGAUAUUUAAUUUUGGUCGAAAACAAUGGGCAAUGGGUUCUUUAAUUUGAAAGAAAAUUUAAGAAAAUUGAGAGAUGCCUUUCCAGUUUCGCACCUAGAUUUCAAAAUUGAAAUUUUUUCAAAUUUUGGUGUAUAGUGAGGCGAAGUGUUUGCAACCAUCACCAACGUUACGCAGUCAGAUUAUCAAUGAGGCGAUAACUUUGAUAACUUUGACGACAGUUUUGGUUGGAGUCUAUCGAUGUUUCUUGAUUUGUUGGUGAUUCAAAACUUUCUUUGAAAUGCGAGUCUGCGACGAUGUAUUUAUAGGAUACGACUUCUUAAUUGAUUAGAGUUAGGAAACUGUUUCAUGACAGGACUAUAACAUGUUACAUAAUUUCUUGAUGAAAAAACAAAGAGAUUAGAGUGAAGUCGUUUUAAAUUUGACAAAUCUUAAUUAGAUUAGAGUUAUUCAACCUAAAUACUGAAAUGGGCUUGUGCAACUAACAGAGGAAGGUCAUUCUAAGCUCAUGUUGAAGGAUGUGAAGGUUCAUCGACCAGUGCUUAAAAGCAAGAAACUCUAAUUCUCAAACAAAACUAGAGAGGGAGGUUAGACUUUCCUAAUAUGAAUAAAUUGGAAGAUUCGAGAUUUGUUAGCUUUAUAUUUAUUUGGAGUUUUUUUUUCUUUCGUUUAAAGGAAGAUGUGAUUCUUUAUUUGGAGUUUCUAAGUUUGCUAAGUUUGACCGCAAACCGUAGCAGCUCGUUUGCUAUACGGGUUUACGGGGACUGGACUAGCUUAUGUAAGCAAAUAAGCUGUGUCCUGUGUCUAGGUGAAACAAGAUUCGUUUUAAUGAAGUUGUGUAGUCUUCGUGUCUCUCUCCACACUUUCUUACACAAACCCCCCAAAAUUCACGGGUUUAUGUAACCCCAACUGAAAUCUCUUGUUUCUUCUCCUUGCUUCAACCUCGUCCAUCUCUCUCAGCAACGCUGCGUACAAUUGCAUUGGAAUAUCGAAGUACAAUUGUAGAAGAUCAUUGUUGUUAUAUACAAACACCAGCUAGGCUAUUCUAGGCAGGCUAUCAAUGAAGGCCUCCAUUAGGAGUCAAUGUGGCCUUCUCGGAUUCUAGAGCAGAUGAAACAUUGAUGCCAUGAUCCCCAACGGAAGAACAAGACGUAGAAAUGAACAACAAUGAUGAAGUAAGAGCAACAAAGAAAAUGAACUUGGGAGGAGCCAUCAGUUUGAACUUUGAAGUUUGAAACUUUGAACACAUUUGUUGUUGUUCAUGCAUAUUUCAUAUAUAGCUGCUCCAAUGUAGCCACUGACCAUGUUUGAUUUCAUUACGAGUCAUGACUCAUGACCAGCUAAGCAAGAAGGUGGGAGUUGCAUCUCUUUUUCAUUUUACUAAAAUGUGAUUAUCAGAGAUGACUGAAUUAAGAUAGAUGCUCUUAGAUGCAUUUGUUUUUAGUUGAUAAAUGGAGUGUGAAAAUAAUUAUAUGGGAUAUAUUUCAAUGUGGUAGGUAUGGACUCACAUCACUCACAUAUGUAUAUUACUUGAUCGAAACAGAGUUGACAGCCAGUCUAUGCUUCUGCUUGAUAUGCAUAAGGCACAUUUUCAAGGGUAUGGUUCACAAUUUGGAGAAGAAAACUAAGAAAUCAUACAUAGCUAGUUUCUAAACCCAGUAAAAUCUUAUCAAUCAUAAAUGAUAUUUUUUUUUCCAACAAACAUAUAGUCGGUCCCAUACAAAUGGAAUCCUAAGGUGGAAUUCUAUACCACUUUAAGGUAAUUAUAUAUAUACAUGUCUUACUUUUGUAAUCGCUACAAACUUUUCACAUUCUGAUAAAUUCAUGUACAUCUUAAUUAAUAAUAUAGAGUGGUACCGUUUACAAACAAACUACAAAGUCAGAACCUAUGAUCAAGUAGUAGAUUGAGAAAAUCUUUCUUUUUUUCAUCAUGAUCCACAACUAGUGGAGUUAUGCAAUCUGAUUUGCUGGUAAAAUGUCGACUUUGGUUGAAUCAAAGGUCCUGGACUGAGGCUUGAUUCUGGAUGAUUGAUUGCUUGUGUUGAGCGUGUCUAUUCUGUCUUUUGCUUCAAGUGCACAGAUUGUCAUGUCAUGGACACAAUUUUACAUUUGUAAGCCUUGCACACAUAGCCGGCAAAAUUUUCAUAGUCCUGCAUUUCAUACAGACAAAAGUUAAGUUUGAUUCGGAGAGAGUGAGGGACGAAAAAAAGGGGGAGAUGGAGAAAAGAGGGAAGAAAGAGGACCAACAUUUCCAGUAGGUUGAUUAUUCAAAACCAGCCAUGGUACAAACUCUAGAGGUGGAUUGAGGUGCAUAAUUUCAUUGCCAUAGUUUUGUUCAAGCUGCAGUAAUCCAAUAAUGUCAAACAUAAUUGACAAGUACUUAUUAACAUCAUAUAUUCUUUUAAAUAGGAAUAUAGUAAGUAAAACAUGAAACCUUUGUUGCAUUUGAACAAUUGUAGCAAUCCAAAAUGUGUUUCUUAGGCAGUCCCAAUGAUCUGAAGCAAGUUUCCCACUCCUUUUGCCUUCCCUCUAUGGCCAGAAAUUCUAUGUAGUAAAUCAAAGCAAAGUGCUUGUUCUGCAUCACAAAAUCAAAUUUCAAAUCGAUUUCUUACUCAAUAAAUUGAUAACCUUUCAUUGAAACUCAUUUUUGUCUCACCACAUCAUGCAUAACAUCGAUAGCGCAUGAUUGCAGAGAAUUCAACUUGCAUUGAUCUGGCCUAUGCUGUGAAAGUAUCACAGAAAGAACAUAUGCAUCACUUUAAUGAUUUUAUAAAAAUGUUGCAAAAACUUUGAACAAAUGGUAUUGGUACAAAUAAUGAUCAAUAUAAACCUGACAGAAAGCAGUGCUGUUGUUCGAUUUGUUGGCGUAUACAUCACCCCAAGGAACCAGUCUGAGAUUAAAGAUGGUGAUGAGAUUAUCAUCGAAAAUCUUAGCAAGAUUUUUUACAAUGAAGGUAGCACAAGAUAUGCUCAAAGUGUCAUAGUAAAGUGACAAAGUAACUUUCUGGUUAGCAGCAAAACAUGGAAAUGUGAGCAAGAACAUUGAACAGGUAAUGAGACAAGUAAAGAAUAAUCGAGCAGAUGCCAUUUUUUGCAGUUAGAUCUGUUUUAUAAUUGUGCACAUAUGAUGUAGUAAUAGUUUCCCUCCUCUCUUUUAAUUGCUUUUGUUGGGUUUGGUACUCUGAUAUAAAUGAUGGCCAGGUCAUAAGCAUAUCCUUGGACAAGUUUAUGCAGAAAAUGAAUGCUUCUUGUUAAUUAUACAAUUUUGGGCAAAAAAAAAUCAUCCAACCAUGUGAGCAAUGAUCAACUAGAGAGCAGCAGCAUCAGCAGGGUUAUAGAUCAAUGUCACACCUACCUGCUACUAUUACUUUGCCAUAACUUAAUCAUCUCAAUCAUAAGUACAUGAAGGUGGCAGUGAAAAGCCUUCAAAUUUUGACAAGAAUAAUUUAGCAGUAACAAAACAUGGAUUGAAAACACACACAAAAGAUAAGAACACUAUCAGACCAUAAAACCUUAUAGGUCAGCUUCAACUAUGUCAUAUCAAUCAACAUUAGGUUCGAUUAACAUAUGGAAUGUCAAUGUAAACUUUAUGCCACAUUGUCUGCUCCUAAGGCUUAAGAUGUAGAGUUUCUUCCUUGUUCUGCUAAACAAACUUGAGGAAUUGAUCUUUCAUUCCCAAUUGAUUCGGUCAUGAAUUUAUCAUAGUUCUACAUGGACAAAAUUGGUCAACAGGGGGUCAAAGAUUGAGGAAAUAAGAAAUCCAAAAUGUGAUUAUUGAGAGACUAACAUCUGCAAGUGGUUUAUUAUUGACAACCAACCAUGGCACAAAUCUAUGUGGUGGAUUAAGCUGAGCAGUUUCCUUUGCAUAUUUUGUUUCAAUCUAUGCAUCAAUGCCAAAUUGCCAAUCCGUGAAGAUUAAUUUUGUCAAGGCUCAAAUGAUGAAAAAGUUCAAAAACAUCCAGAACAAAGUCGGACUGAAAAUGAAGUGACCUGAUUGCCAUAUCCACUGUUGUAGCAAUCGAUAGGAACAGUCCCUAACUUCAACAUUUCAAAGCAAUCGGCUCAUUUUUCGUGCUUGUUGUGCAAUGUGAGCUGCUCAACGCAGUGGAUGAAUCUAAAAUGUCGAUUCUGCAUCAUAAUUAAUCCACCGUAGUUAGUAACCAAACUAAAGUUUUAAGCGUCAUAUGCACAUGUUUGGGAUAAAGUCUGUAAAAUCUUUUCCUAGAGGCAUUGACAAGCUUUACCACAUUAGGAUAGAUGGUGAUGGUACAGGCCUCAAUUGUGUUAAGCAUUCAUCUGUUCCAUGUUGUACAACACAGAAGGGGUUAAAGGAAUAAUCAUAGAGCUACAAAACUGAUAGGUAUAGUAAAAUUCAAACAACCUCAACCUUUACUAAAAUAAUUUGGAUGAACCCUCCCCUAAUUUUUAGUACUUCUAAACUUCACACAUGUAAGCCUUCAGGGCUUGAGACAUGUCAAUGUCCAAAAACCAAAAAUACCCUUUCUCUCUUGGUGUGUGAUUUUGUCGUUUGAUUCAACUAGCUAGACUUUUCAGUAAUUCAAUAACAUGCCUAUGUAAAUGUAAAUUCUACAAGUACAAAGGUAAAAUUGUAAAUGAGAUUAACACAUGGGCAGUUAAUUUAAAAAGAUGGAAAGAUAAGGCGGCGUACAUUCAAAACGACGUCAUACUUAGAGAGAUAAAAUAGACACUGAGGUAGCUGGAAGAAGAUGAGUGAGUAGCUGAAAAGAAAAGAAGGGGAGGCGAUUGGGGUGGAGAAAGCUGACCUGGCAGGCGAAAGAGCCAUCAGAAUUGAGCCAAGCGUUGCCCCAAGGGACCAUUCGGAGGUUGAUGACGGAUAUGAGCCCAUUGUCAAAGAUCUUGGUCAAAUGGUUCACAAUGAAAUCGGCACAAUAAGGACAGAGUGUCUCGUAGCAGAGAGUCACACUCACAUUCUCUGCAGCAUAAGAUCGAGAUGGGUUUGAGACCAAGAGGAAGAAGAGGAGGAAGAGUUUGGGAAAACCCAUUUGGUAGAUUUAGAUCACAGGGAUUGUGACUCUGUGUGUUUUAUAUGUAAGAACUAUAUGUAAGACUGAGAUUUAAACCGUAGUGAAUGCUUGUAACUAUCUCAACUUUUAGGGUGGUGGGUAAUUAUAUCUAUCCCUAUGUCUUCUUGCUUUCUUUCUUUGUGGGUGAGGGUCAUUUCUGUUCAUAUUCCAAUGGAAUCAUCAAGAAUGGAUUCAAGCAUUUGUUCAUUAUCACAUAUAUCUUCGGUCUUCCUAUGUGUAUGGAAAAAUAAAUGAUGGAGUAACAUUUCAUACCUUGAGGGGAUAACAUUUUAAAAGCUUUCAUUUAUGAGAUCCUCCCGUUCCAAGUCUCUUUACCAUUCCCUGUGUCUUUCAACCAAAUGGCCACAAAAUCCAUAAAUUACGUACAAAACAUAAUUAAACUGAUUUAACUUUUUUUUUUUUUUNNNNNNNNNNNNNNNNNNNNGACCUAAUGUUGUUUUGUGUGGUUUUGCAGUUGCUUCGACCAAUUUAUAGGCAAUUUGCAGAUAAUCAAAACGCAGAAAUAUUUUCUGCUAACCCAUUGCUUGUUAUUCUAGGAACAAGUCUUCUCACUGCUAGGGUAGGUUCUGCAUUUAUUAAAAACUUUAUAAUAUUCCUCUUUAGUGCUAUAAAGCUCUUAAUCUUUACCUCUUAUGUACAGGCUGGACUGUCCAUGGCACUGGGAGCAUUUUUGGCUGGUUUGCUUCUUGCGGAAACUGAAUUUUCCUUACAGGUUGAGUCAGACAUUGCUCCAUAUCGCAGCCUUCUAUUGGGUCUCUUUUUCAUGACGGUAUGUGCUUCAUGGUGGCAACUUGUUAUUUCCUUUCUUUCACACCCAUAUUAUAAUGUUUGAUAUCAAUUACUGUUAACAAUCUUAAAAAUAUCAGUCUAUGGAUACUGGAUAGGAUCAAGAGUUCUUGUCUUGGACAUGUAGUGAACUGUCAGCCUAUUGAUAUGUGUAAUGUCAUCUUUAACAACUGUUUGUGAAUUUUCAGGUUGGAAUGUCUGUUGAUCCAAAACUUCUUGUUUCAAACUUCCUCGUUGUAGUUGGAUCAUUAGGACUCCUACUCGUCAGUAAAUCCCUGUUGGUUGCUUUAAUUGGCAAACUAUCUGGCAUUUCAAUAAUUUCAGCAAUAAGAGUUGGUCUUCUUCUUGCCCCUGGUGGAGAAUUUGUAUUUGUUGCUUUUGGUGAAGCUGUUAAUCAGGUUGGUUUCUUUAUUAACUACAAUGUGGGUAAAUUGCUUGUUUGCUAUACUAUUCGCAGCUAUACAAUUUAUCUGUAUAUAUAUGUACAUUUAUUUAUUUUCUCAUCUGGUCUCUUUGGUUCCUAAAUGCAUUUGAUAUUCUUACAUAUAUAAUUUCUUUUUUCAAAAGAAAUUUCUUAUACUUGUUAACCAAUAGAAGAGAGGUUUCACUGCUAAAUUAAGUAAACAGGGUGAAAACUAUAGUAAAUGGUUGAUUUAAUUUUUAAAUAUUAGUCAUCUAUAAAUUUGCUAAUAUCUAUUGAUAAACUGUUUUGCUGAUUUGUGCAUCUACAGCUUAAUUCCUCUAAGGUAGUCUUUAAUGAUGAAUGAAUUAAAGACUAAACAAAUAUUUGAUUAAGUAUUCCUUUUGUUAUUUUCAAAAACAAAAUAACGACAUCUCAUAUACACAAAUUGAUUAAGUAGGACUACGGUAGCUUUCUCUCAUUUUCAAUCCAAACAAACAAAACAAAUAUUUGAUAAAAAUAAAAUAAAGGUUGCCUAUUUUUCAAUCUUCUGCAAACAAAGAUUGCCUUUUUUCAAUCUUUUGCAAACAAAGGUUGCGUUUUCCCGAAAAUUAAAAAGUUGCCUUUUUUCAAUCUUCUGCAAACAAAGGUUGCCUUUUCCCGAAAAUUAAAAGGUUUGUUCAAUCUUCUGCAAACAAAUGUUGCCUUGUCCCGAAAAUUAAGAGGUUGCCUUUUUUUCAAUUUUCUGCAAACAAGUCACACUAUGGUAGACUUGAUGCCCCUAUUUCCGGAUAUGUUGCCUUUGUCUUGAGAAUUAUAUUGUUGCCAUUAUGUAAGUCUGAAACCGGGUUUGGUAUUAAACCAUCCAACAAGCUUCGAUUUGUGUUUGCUUAAAUCUAUGUGAUUUUGAGAUUAAAAAUAAUGGUGCUCCCUUUUUUCCUGAGGUUGAAGCACCGCCUUUGAAGAUUGGUGCUCCCUCUUUUCUAGGGGUUGAAGUGCCGAUUUUAAAGGUUGUUGUUUUUGUCUGCUAUAUGUUGCCUUGGAUUAAGAUUCAUGAUUAUGUUGCCACGGAUAAUAUUGUUGCCUUGGAAAAGAGAGAGAGAAAGGUUGCCUUUUGUUCAAUCUUCUGCAAACAAACGUUGCCUUGUCCUGAAAAUUGUUCAAUCUUCUGCUAACAAAUGUUGUUCUGUCCCGAAAAUUAAAAGGUUGCUUUUUUUUCAAUCUUCUGCAAACAAGUCACACCAUGGUAGACUUGAUGACCCUAUUUCCGGAUAUGUUGCCUUUGUCCCGAGAAUUAUACUAAUGCCAUUAUGCAAGUCUGAAACCAGGUUUGGUAUUAAACCAUCCAACAAGUUUCGAUUUGUGUUUGCUUAAAUCUAUGUGAUUUUGAGAUUUAAAAUAAUGGUGCUCCCUUUUUUCCUGGGGUUGAAGCACCGCCUUUGAAGAUUGGUGCUCCUUCUUUUCUAGGGGUUGAAGUGCCGGUUUUAAAGGUUGUUGUUUUUGUCUGCUAUAUGUUGCCUUGGAUUAAGAUUCAUGAUUAUGUUGCCUCNNNNNNNNNNNNNNNNNNNNNNNNNNNNNNNNNNNNNNNNNNNNNNNNNNCAACCCACAUGUGAAUCCAAUCUCAACACUGAUAACAUUCCAAUCAAUCUCAUCUCCAGAAUUUGGAUGAAUUUUUUCUGGUUCCGGAGGUGACAACCUUGUUUUGUUUUCUUCGGUCAAGGGAGGCCCGAACAAACCUUUGUUUCCUUCAAAGGAAGAUUUUGGAAAUGUUGUAAAUUGAUUACUGCUCGGAAUUCUGCCCUCGAGUUGAUUGUUUGAGAGAUUCAAGAAUGAAA
rnacentral:lncRNA from 1 species